AAAAGACCUACCACCUUCUAUAACAGAAGGCAUUUCCCAUAUCCUCAGACACAUCCUUAGAUCCAGAUGAGCGCCAGGUCGACCAAGUGGUGCUGACUAGCAACUGUGAUGCUUGCUGCCUUCCGAGUCAACUCAGGGCCUGGCAAGAUGGCUUAAGUGUGUAGAAGGGCUCACCACCAAACCUGAUGAUGGAAGUGCAAUAUCCGGGACUCCACGGUGGAAGGAGAGGACUGACUCUCUGAUCUCCAUGUAUGAUGAAGUAGAGAUGAGAAUCACCACAGUCAGCUCCUGCCUUUGUCCUGUGACAAGGGUUCUCACCCUCACCCCUGCUCUGCUCACAAAAUCCCAGGGAAAGGAAUGGACAUUUUCCUAUAUACAGACUUCUUUAUCCCAGUAUGCGGACAGAGAGGGGCUAAUAUGUUAUCCAUUUCCUACAUAAAAAUAGCUCCAGUGAGCUUCAAAGUGUUUGUCA